rnacentral:rRNA from 1 species
GAUGAACGCUGGCGGCGUGCCUAAUACAUGCAAGUCGAGCGAACGGACGAGAAGCUUGCUUCUCUGAUGUUAGCGGCGGACGGGUGAGUAACACGUGGAUAACCUACCUAUAAGACUGGGAUAACUUCGGGAAACCGGAGCUAAUACCGGAUGAUAUUUUGAACCGCAUGGUUCAAAAGUGAAAGACGGUCUUGCUGUCACUUAUAGAUGGAUCCGCGCUGCAUUAGCUAGUUGGUAAGGUAACGGCUUACCAAGGCAACGAUGCAUAGCCGACCUGAGAGGGUGAUCGGCCACACUGGAACUGAGACACGGUCCAGACUCCUACGGGAGGCAGCAGUAGGGAAUCUUCCGCAAUGGGCGAAAGCCUGGCGGAGCAACGCCGCGUGAGUGAUGAAGGUCUUCGGAUCGUAAAACUCUGUUAUUAGGGAAGAACAUAUGUGUAAGUAACUGUGCACAUCUUGACGGUACCUAAUCAGAAAGCCACGGCUAACUACGUG